AGAACGAACGCUGGCGGCAUGCCUAACACAUGCAAGUCGAACGCUCUUGGGGCUUCGGUCUCAGGGGAGUGGCGCACGGGUGAGUAGCGCGUGGGAACCUGCCCUGUUGUGGGGGAUAACCGAGGGAAACUUCGGCUAAUACCGCAUAAGCCGGUUGUCUUGAAGGAGAUGGCCGGGAAAGAUUUAUCGCGACAGGAGGGGCCCGCGUCGGAUUAGCUAGUUGGUGGGUAACGGCCCACCAAGGCGGUGAUCCGUAGCUGGUCUGAGAGGAUGAUCAGCCACACUGGGACUGAGACACGGCCCAGACUCCUACGGGAGGCAGCAGUGGGGAAUAUUGGACAAUGGGCGCAAGCCUGAUCCAGCAAUGCCGCGUGAGUGAUGAAGGCCUUAGGGUUGUAAAGCUCUUUCGCCCGCGACGAUGAUGACGGUAGCGGGAGAAGAAGCCCCGGCUAACUUCGUGCCAGCAGCCGCGGUAA
rnacentral:rRNA from 1 species